UCACACCAGACAUCUAUCUGCAGCUGAGAAUGGGCUUUCUAUGCCCUAUUACUGCCAACACCUGCGAAAUGCGGCGGAGAUCUGGGCGGAAAAUGGGGAGAGGAAGUGGAGAAAUUGAGAUUUGAGCUUUGGAAAUAUGGGUGGCUGAGGAAAGGAGGGAGGGAGAGAGAGAGAGUGAAGGGGGUUUGAGGGUUUCUAUUGUAUUUGUGUUUAGGGAUUGUGUUGUGUGAAUGUGAGAGGCCAAAUUGGAAGUGUGAUGAGAGAGAGAAUGAGACGCCCAAAAAGACUUACAGCUAAAUCACAGCUCAAAGCCCACCAGAUUCUCUCUCUCUUCACUCUGUCUCUCUCUAACAAGAGGCGACUUUAUUCUUUUCGAACUAACACAUUUAUGUUCAACGCGCUCCUCCUCAGCUAAAGUUUCGAAUAAUGCCCUCAAAAAGAUUUCAAUAUUUUUUCCUUUUCCUAUAAAGGAACGCAACAACCGCGCAUAUUAUAUUACUCCUACUAAUUUAUUUAUAAACGGCCAAAAUGUACAUGACUAAAAUAAAAUUAUCGUAUAUUAUGAGUAUCACAGGCUCACAGUGCUAUUAUUUGCUGCUUCUUUUUUUAAUAUUCAAAUGGGGGUAUACGUGGCAACUUAACUAAACUUUAACGACUACAAUAAUGGAGGGGAAGCAGAUUAUUUUUCAUUUAAUUAAUAUAAAGGUAUAGAUACAAAAUUAUGUGGAAGAGCGGUUGAAUGGAAUAUGCAAAUACUAGGCGUGACGGCGUUACGCCGGCCAACUGUACAAUUAUAUAUAAACGCGUCGAACUCCGUCGGUUUAGGGGUGGCGUUUUGUGGGGUGAAUGGGACAUGCAGUUUAGUUUCUUAAAUAAAAUAGUAAUUAAUAGUAUUUGUUUUUCAAAUAAAUAGCAUAAUUAAAUAGACAAUUUGGGCCAAGUAGGAUUUGUUUGUUUAUUGGAAUAAGGUAUGGUGUGAAAUGUCAUAUCGAUGGGCUUCCAAUUAAUUUAUGUGCACUAAAUUACAGAAUUGCCGAUCAAAUUGCAGUAAGUAGAGACGGAAAAUGUUGCAUGAAAGAAGAAGAAGAAAAGAAAAGGAAAAAUAAAAAAUGAUCUGGACCAGGUAAUUGUUUAGGUAAUUAUAAUACAUAAAUCUUUAUAGGAAUAAAAAUUAAAAGUAUACAUAUAUGACCUUUGUACAAAGUUGCACAAUUUAAAUACAUCUCUUUUUUUUUUCUGAGGAAAUAAAUACAUCUGUUUUAUUUUGUCAAUAUCAUACAUAUUAUUGUUUUAUCCUAAUGAGAAGGAUUGAUAUCAAUUUUAGGCGAGUAAACCAAUAAUACUCAUUUUAGUCCAAUUAAAUAAGUCUCGCUAUCAGUUGUAUUCUGAUGCCAUUUUCCAGCUCUAUAAAGCAUAGUUGGCAAGCAAGAAGUCACGACAUUUUUGCUUGGAAAAAUAUAAUGAAGUCGCUUAAUGUAUAUAUAUUUUUUAAAUGAAUAUUAUAUUCCAUGCAAGUAAAUCCAUAUUGUUUUAUGUGUUUUGUUUAAAAGCAUAAAAGAAUCACGACUUAAAAAAUAAGAAAUCCCAACACGGCAAAUAACUUCCUCCUAAGAUGGUGCCAGAAUAAAAUUGACACACAUAUAUGUUUAUUAAGAUUGAUAUUGGUAUUAUCAAUUUAUUAUGCUAAAAUUGUUAUUGACCCCCCUUAUUGUUAGACUAAAAGUCUAAUACCGUGUAUUAUUCCUAUUUUAUGAUGGGAUAAGUAACUCGGACAACGAAGCGCCGAUUAAUAAUAAAACGAUUCUCCUCUAAUUAAUAAGUUGAGGGUUCGAAUUAUCACGGUCCACGAGAAGAAAUGAGAAACCAUUAUUAUUAUUAUUUUAAAGAAAAAGAACAAGUAAAUUGGAAGUUUCGCAAGAUACCAUUUGAGAUCAUAUACUGUAAAAUUGUGGAGUGUAAUGUGUGUCAAAAAAAUACUAGCGCAACAAUUUUUAUUUUUAUUUUUUUUUAAUUUGAGAUUUGAUACAUGCAUCAUGUUGAGUUCCAACAAAAUUUAUGUAGUGGUACAAUUGAAUAGAUCAAAUUCGAGGUGUAUAACAAAAUAGAAGUUCUUUCGUGUGAACGUUCGUACGGUGCGGAUCACUUACUUACUCUAACAUGACACCUUAAAAUUGUUAAAAUACGAAAUUCUUAUGUGAUAUUAAUAUAAAUAAACUAAAUGAUUAAAUUGCAACACUCACUGAUUGACAAAAUUUAUCAAUUUCAUAAUUAGGCUUCUUAAUGAUAAUUUGUUAGACACCUAUAAGUUUUUCAGUAUUUAAUUGAGGUUGAUGUAUUUUAUCUAAAUAAUUGGUUUGUGAGUCAUAUCCAGCAAAACACUAUCUAAAUAUAGAUGGGUGAAAUAGCAUACUUAUUGCCACUACGAUUCAUUAUGCAAGUAUAGUUUCUAGUCGUCUAAUUGCCAUAUUGGUUGUAAAAGGAGGACAUUUUAGGGUUGAGC
rnacentral:lncRNA from 1 species